CGGCCAUUCGUUAGCUCAGUUGGUUAGAGCGUCGUGCUAAUAACGCGAAGGUCGCGGGUUCGAUCCCCUCACGGCCGU
rnacentral:tRNA from 1 species